CCAGGUUCAAGCAAUUCCCCUGCCUCAGCCUUGAGAGUAGCUGGGAUUACAGGCAACGUGCCACCACACCCGGCUAAUUUUUGUAUUUUUAGUAGAGAUGGGGUUUCACCAUGUUGGUCAGGCUGGUCUCAAACUCCUGACCUCAGGUGAUCCACCUGCCUUGGCCUCCCAAAGUGUUGGGAUUACUGGCAUGAGCCACUGCACCCAGCCUAUUUAUUUUAUCUUUUUGAGACAGAGUCUCACUCUGUCACCCAGGUUGGAGUGCAAUGGCGUGAUCUCGGCUCACUGCAACCUCCACCUCCCAGGUUCAAGUGAUUCUCCUGCCUCAGCCUUCUGAGUAGCUGUAAUUACAGGUGCCCAUUAACUGGCCUGGCUAAUUUUUGUAUUUUUAGUAGGUAUUUUAGUAGGUAUUAUAGUAGGUAUUUUAGUAGGUAUUAUAGUAGGUAUUUUAGUAGGUAUUAUAGUAGGUAUUUUAGUAGGUGUUUUAGUAGACGGGGUUUUACCAUGUUGGCCAGGCUGGUCUCGAACUCCUGACCUCAAGUGAUUCACCUGCCUCGGCCUCCCAAAGUGCUAGGGUUAUAGGUGUGAGCUA
rnacentral:lncRNA from 1 species